UACGUAGGGGGCUAGCGUUGUCCGGAAUCAUUGGGCGUAAAGAGCGUGUAGGCGGCCCGGUAAGUCCGCUGUGAAAGUCGGGGGCUCAACCCUCGAAUGCCGGUGGAUACUGUCGGGCUAGAGUCCGGAAGAGGCGAGUGGAAUUCCUGGUGUAGCGGUGGAAUGCGCAGAUAUCAGGAGGAACACCGGUGGCGAAGGCGGCAUCCUGGACCAAUAUUGACGCUGAGGAGCGAAAGCCAGGGGAGCAAACGGG
rnacentral:rRNA from 1 species